rnacentral:rRNA from 1 species
AUUGAACGCUGGCGGCAUGCCUUACACAUGCAAGUCGAACGGCAGCACGGGUGCUUGCACCUGGUGGCGAGUGGCGAACGGGUGAGUAAUACAUCGGAACAUGUCCUGUAGUGGGGGAUAGCCCGGCGAAAGCCGGAUUAAUACCGCAUACGAUCUACGGAUGAAAGCGGGGGACCUUCGCGCCUCGCGCUAUAGGGUUGGCCGAUGGCUGAUUAGCUAGUUGGUGGGGUAAAGGCCUACCAAGGCGACGAUCAGUAGCUGGUCUGAGAGGACGACCAGCCACACUGGGACUGAGACACGGCCCAGACUCCUACGGGAGGCAGCAGUGGGGAAUUUUGGACAAUGGGCGAAAGCCUGAUCCAGCAAUGCCGCGUGUGUGAAGAAGGCCUUCGGGUUGUAAAGCACUUUUGUCCGGAAAGAAAUCCUUGGCCCUAAUACGGUCGGGGGAUGACGGUACCGGAAGAAUAAGCACCGGCUAACUACGUG